rnacentral:rRNA from 1 species
GACGAACGCUGGCGGCGUGCCUAAUACAUGCAAGUCGAGCGAAGUUUUUCUGGUGCUUGCACCGGAAAAACUUAGCGGCGAACGGGUGAGUAACACGUAAAGAACCUGCCUCAUAGACUGGGACAACUAUUGGAAACGAUAGCUAAUACCGGAUAAUAGCAUUAACUGCAUGGUCGAUGUUUAAAAGUUGGUUUUGCUAACACUAUGAGAUGGCUUUGCGGUGCAUUAGCUAGUUGGUGGGGUAAAGGCCUACCAAGGCGACGAUGCAUAGCCGACCUGAGAGGGUGAUCGGCCACACUGGGACUGAGACACGGCCCAGACUCCUACGGGAGGCAGCAGUAGGGAAUCUUCCGCAAUGGGCGAAAGCCUGACGGAGCAACGCCGCGUGAGUGAAGAAGGAUUUCGGUUCGUAAAGCUCUGUUGUUAGGGAAGAAUGAUUGUGUAGUAACUAUACACGGUAGAGACGGUACCUAACCAGAAAGCCACGGCUAACUACGUG